UACGAAGGGGGCUAGCGUUGCUCGGAAUCACUGGGCGUAAAGCGCACGUAGGCGGAUGUUUAAGUCGGGGGUGAAAGCCCGGGGCUCAACCUCGGAAUUGCCUUCGAUACUGGACAUCUUGGGUACGGGAGAGGUGAGUGGAACUCCGAGUGUAGAGGUGAAAUUCGUAGAUAUUCGGAAGAACACCAGUGGCGAAGGCGACUCACUGGCCCGUUACUGACGCUGAGGCGCGAAAGCGUGGGAGCAAACAGG
rnacentral:rRNA from 1 species